CUCAGGAAGGGGGUAGAGGAUUUCUCCCUGCCUAGCACCCCGCCUAGAGCUGUCACUCCCACACAAGGAGGAGAGCUAGCUAGUCCAGCAUCGAUCAGAUCCUGGACGAUCCCGUGUAUAACCACGGAAUUGAGGAGACGACAAAUCCCCUACCCCGCUACAGCAAGGAAAGCAGAACUUUUCAAACGCACAUCUACAAAUAACAUG